GCUAUACAUGCAAGUCGAGCGAACAGAUGAGAAGCUUGCUUCUCUGAUGUUAGCGGCGGACGGGUGAGUAACACGUGGGUAACCUACCUAUAAGACUGGGAUAACUCCGGGAAACCGGGGCUAAUACCGGAUAAUAUUUUGAACCGCAUGGUUCAAUAGUGAAAGACGGUUUCGGCUGUCACUUAUAGAUGGACCCGCGCCGUAUUAGCUAGUUGGUAAGGUAACGGCUUACCAAGGCGACGAUACGUAGCCGACCUGAGAGGGUGAUCGGCCACACUGGAACUGAGACACGGUCCAGACUCCUACGGGAGGCAGCAGUAGGGAAUCUUCCGCAAUGGGCGAAAGCCUGACGGAGCAACGCCGCGUGAGUGAUGAAGGUCUUCGGAUCGUAAAACUCUGUUGUUAGGGAAGAACAAAUUUGUUAGUAACUGAACAAGUCUUGACGGUACCUAACCAGAAAGCCACGGCUAACUACGUGCCAGCAGCCGCGGUAAUACGUAGGUGGCAAGCGUUAUCCGGAAUUAUUGGGCGUAAAGCGCGCGUAGGCGGUUUCUUAAGUCUGAUGUGAAAGCCCACGGCUCAACCGUGGAGGGUCAUUGGAAACUGGGAAACUUGAGUGCAGAAGAGGAGAGUGGAAUUCCAUGUGUAGCGGUGAAAUGCGCAGAGAUAUGGAGGAACACCAGUGGCGAAGGCGGCUCUCUGGUCUGUAACUGACGCUGAUGUGCGAAAGCGUG
rnacentral:rRNA from 2 species